rnacentral:rRNA from 1 species
CCUACGUGAGGCAGCAGUGAGGAAUAUUGGUCAAUGGGCGCGAGCCUGAACCAGCCAAGUAGCGUGAAGGAUGACUGCCCUACGGGUUGUAAACUUCUUUUAUAAAGGAAUAAAGUGAGGCACGUGUGCCUUUUUGUAUGUACUUUAUGAAUAAGGAUCGGCUAACUCCGUGCCAGCAGCCGCGGUAAUACGGAGGAUCCGAGCUUUAUCCGGAUUUAUUGGGUUUAAAGGGAGCGUAGAUGGGUUGUUAAGUCAGUUGUGAAAGUUUGCGGCUCAACCGUAAAAUUGCAAUUGAUACUGGCAGUCUUGAGUACAGUUGAGGUAGGCGGAAUUCGUGGUGUAGCGGUGAAAUGCUUAGAUAUCACGAAGAACUCCGAUUGCGAAGGCAGCUUACUAAACUGCCACUGACAUUGAUGCUCGAAAGUGUGGGUAUCAAACAGGAUUAGAUACCCUAGUAGUC